CUACGGGCCGCACCAGUGGGGAAUAUUGCACGAUGGGCGCAAGCCUGAUGCAGCCAUGCCGCGUGUAUGAAGAAGGCCUUCGGGUUGUAAAGUACUUUCAGCGGGGAGGAAGGGAGUAAAGUUAAUACCUUUGCUCAUUGACGUUACCCGCAGAAGAAGCACCGGCUAACUCCGUGCCAGCAGCCGCGGUAAUACGGAGGGUGCAAGCGUUAAUCGGAAUUACUGGGCGUAAAGCGCACGCAGGCGGUUUGUUAAGUCAGAUGUGAAAUCCCCGGGCUCAACCUGGGAACUGCAUCUGAUACUGGCAAGCUUGAGUCUCGUAGAGGGGGUAGAAUUCCAGGUGUAGCGGUGAAAUGCGUAGAGAUCUGGAGGAAUACCGGUGGCGAAGGCGGCCCCCUGGACGAAGACUGACGCUCAGGUGCGAAAGCGUGGGGAGCAAACAGGAUUAGAUACCCCAGUAGUC
rnacentral:rRNA from 1 species